rnacentral:rRNA from 1 species
AGUGGAUGGGGAGCAACCUAGUUGUGCGUGUGUAAAGGUAGUGCCAAGAAAAGCGGUGAUCAUGAUGAAAAUCAAUUCCCGGUACCCGAAACCGACACAGGUGGGCAAGUAGAGAAUACUAAGGGGCGCGAGGUAACUCUCUCCAAGGAACUCGGCAAAAUGACCCCGUAACUUAGGGAGAAGGGGUGCCACCGAGAGGUGGUCGCAGUGAAGAGGCCCAGGCGACUGUUUAGCAAAAACAUAGGUCUCUGCAAACUCGAAAGAGGAGGUAUAGGGGCUGACGCCUGCCCAGUGCCGGAAGGUUAAAGAAGUUGGUCAGUCUUAGGAUGAAGCUAGCGACUGAAGCCCCGGUGAACGGCGGCCGUAACUAUAACGGUCCUAAGGUAGCGAAAUUCCUUGUCGGGUAAGUUCCGACCCGCACGAAAGGCGUAACGAUCUGGGCGCUGUCUCGGAGAGAGGCUCGGCGAAAUAGGAUUGUCUGUGAAGAUACGGACUACCUGCAUUUGGACAGAAAGACCCUAUGAAGCUUUACUAUAGCUUGGAAUUGUGUUCGGGCUUCCUGUGCGCAGGAUAGGUGGGAGGCGUAGAAGGUAUUCUUGUGGGGAUACUGGAGCCAACGGUGAGAUACCACUCUCAGGAGGCUAGAAUUCUAACUUAAUUAAGGACAGUUUCAGGUGGUAGUUUGACUGGGGCGGUCGCCUCCAAAAAGGUAACGGAGGCGUACAAAGGUUCCCUCAGACUGGUUGGAAAUCAGUCGAAGAGUGCAAAGGCAGAAGGGAGCUUGACUGCGAGAAGUACAGUUCGAGCAGGGUGGAAACACGGUCUUAGUGAUCCGACGGUGCUGUGUGGAAGGGCCGUCGCUCAACGGAUAAAAGUUACUCUAAGGAUAACAGGCUGAUCUCCCCCAAGAGUUCACAUCGACGGGGAGGUUUGGCACCUCGAUGUCGGCUCAUCGCAACCUGGGGCGGAAGUACGUCCCAAGGGCUGGGCUGUUCGCCCAUUAAAGCGGUACGUGAGCUGGGUUCAGAACGUCGUGAGACAGUUCGGUCCAUAUCCGAUGUAGGCGUGAGAAUAUUGAGAGGAGCCUUCCUUAGUACGAGAGGACCGGGAAGGACGCACCGCUGGUGUACCUGUUAUGAUGCCAAUUGUAAACGCAGGGUAGCCAAGUGCGGAGAGGAUAACCGCUGAAAGCAUCUAAGUGGGAAGCCCACCUCAAGAUGAGUAUUCUGGUGUAAGGUCACGGGAAGACGACCCGUAAAUAGGCACGAGGUGGAAGUGCAGAGAUGUAUGAAGCCGAAGUGUACUAAUAGACCGUCGGCUUGACC